UCAAGACACGUCAUAGAGGAGAAUAAUACAAUUCAUUCUUCAGCCUGAAGUUGGCUCCCAGCCUUUGGAAGCAGGGAGUUGAUUCCAUAUGGUGGAGUUUAGUGAUAAAUGAAAUCUCUGACCUUUCCUGAUUGAUAAAGGCGAUUGGUCUCCUCGAUAAUGCGGGUAUUGAGUUUGGGCAAUCAAGCUUGUAAUGUCAGAUACGACACACUGUAUAAAUACAGCUGCUAAACCCGGCAGCCAGCAGGACCUGGAAGAACCAAACAGAAUCCAAGAUGAAGCUCCAGAUCGUGGCUGCCGCUCUCCUCCUCUCCAUCCUUUGCCCAAAGGAAAGCAGCGCGCUACCGCGCCAAUGGGCUUCUGGGAGCAUAUCUGGAAGAGUCCCAGGGGCUUCUGGGAGCUUAUCUGGAAGCUUAUCUGGAAGAGUACCAAGGG